GGGGCCGCAACGGUUUCGACAGGUUGGCGAACGCUUCUCUGUGAUACAGGUCGAGAGUGAGUCUCCUCUCGUGAAUCCAAGACUCAAACAAAAUGUAACUGCGAAUAACAUCGUUAGCUUCAAGCGCGUGGCAGUAGCUGCCUAAUUCUCGUCAGAGACCGCUUACUUCUAAUUUGACUCCGUUAAGGAUUAGAGGUAAACCCCAACGGAUGCACUUGAUGGCUUUUCUCUGGUUGGCUAUUCAGUAAAGACCUAACCAAAGCAUCCCACCAUCUGGGAUAAGAGAUGGUUCUCGCCCUGAGGAUUAGAGGGGCUAAACCUGUGAAUGAACGGAAAGUAAAUACCCAAUUUGGACAGCAGUUCGACUCUGCUCGGCUCCAUAA
rnacentral:tmRNA from 1 species